UCUCGCACUGUGGGCUGUGCCUUCCAGGUUUGCGUGGAAAAGUUGCAGAGACGUUAAAUCACGCGUCAAAACGGGGGAUGUUUGUGGUGCAGAGCAAUAAAUGUCAAGAUGGUGCCGUAGCACGAUUACAACAGCUGUCCAGUCCCAGAUUCUGAGCACGUCAGAAAUCACCAACCCCUCCUGACAUAUCUUUCCAGUUUGGGUUUUGCAUGGUCCCCAAUAAACUCAACGUGGGAUGCCUUUCCGAUUUCUUUCACAUCAGGGCACUUAACCUCUACCAGGCCACAGAGAUGUUCUUCAUUUGGGUCCACCACUUUGCCAUCUGCACCAAGGUGUGGAGCAUCAGGGUGGAUGAUGAGACCAGAUGGAAGAACGUUAACGUCAAAGGUCUCCUCAUAGCGGUGAAGAACCUCUGGCUCAAGUUUUAAUCCUCUACACGUCGCUCUCUAGAGACCCCGAAAGAUGUUUACACAUACUGUUUAAUGCAAGAUAUAAAUGCAUUUAACCUGCAAUUACAAAUGCAUAAUGUUUUGAUGUUUUAAUCCCAAAAUGUUGAAUACUGAUAUUUG